CUACGUGGUGAUUUUUUUUUUGUUUUUUGGUUAAAAGGCUUGUGGUGAAGAAAAAUGUUAACCGCAGAUGACUUUGAAGAAAAAAUGUCAGAAAAAUGAAAAACUCUUUUCAAAGUAAAAUGUCAAAAGAACGAAUGGGUUGUUUGGUUUGAAACCAACGUCAACCUUAAACCUAAUGGUAUGCGAAAGGCAAUAGUGAAAAUUUGAAAUCAAAGCUACCUUAGUUC
rnacentral:lncRNA from 1 species